UGCGGGUUAGCCAAGAGGUAAAGGCAUCGCACUUUGACUGCGACAUUCGUUGGUUCGAAUCCAGCACCCGCAACCA
rnacentral:tRNA from 1 species